rnacentral:sRNA from 1 species
GCCAGGUGGCACAUGCCUGUAAUCCCAGUGGCUGGGGGGCUGAGGCAGGAGGAUUGCAAGUUUGAGAACAGCCUCAGCAACUUAACGAGGUCCUAAGCAACUUAGCAAGACCCUGUCUCAA